rnacentral:rRNA from 1 species
GAUGAACGCUAGCUACAGGCUUAACACAUGCAAGUCGAGGGGCAGCAUGAACUUAGCUUGCUAAGUUUGAUGGCGACCGGCGCACGGGUGAGUAACACGUAUCCAACCUGCCGAUGACUCGGGGAUAGCCUUUCGAAAGAAAGAUUAAUACCCGAUGGCAUAGUUCUUCCGCAUGGUGGAACUAUUAAAGAAUUAUCGGUGUACGAUGGGGAUGCGUUCCAUUAGGUAGUAGGCGGGGUAACGGCCCACCUAGCCUACGAUGGAUAGGGGUUCUGAGAGGAAGGUCCCCCACAUUGGAACUGAGACACGGCCCAGACUCCUACGGAGGC